ensembl:snoRNA
GAUGGCCUAAUGAUGAUUAUCUUUUGCCGUUUACCCAGCUGAUUCUUUCUGGAGAGAAAACAUCUGAGUCUGAUGUGCCAUC